rnacentral:rRNA from 1 species
UACGGGGGGGGCAAGCGUUGUUCGGAAUUACUGGGCGUAAAGGGCUCGUAGGUGGCCAACUAAGUCAGACGUGAAAUCCCCAGGCUCAACUUGGGAACUGCGUCUGAUACUGGAUGGCUUGAAUUCGGGAGAGGGAUGCAGAAUUCCAGGUGUAGCGGUGAAAUGCGUAGAUAUCUGGAGGAACACCCGUAGCGAAGGCGGCACUCUGGGCCGGAACUGACGCUGAGGAGCGAAAGCGUGGGGAGCAAACAGG